AUGAACGCUGGCGGCGUGCCUAACACAUGCAAGUCGCACGGGGGGAGCAAUCCUUCAGUGGCGCACGGGUGAGGAACACGUAGCUGACCUGCCCCGAAGAGCGGGAUAACGGUUCGAAAGGACUGCUAAUACCGCAUAAGCUCACAUUGACUAAAUAGGUGUGAGAAAAGGCGCAAGCCGUUUCGGGAGGGGGCUGCGACCCAUCAGGUAGUUGGUAAGGUAACGGCUUACCAAGCCGACGACGGGUAACGGGUUUGAGAGGAUGAUCCGUCACACUGGGACUGAGACACGGCCCAGACUCCUACGGGAGGCAGCAGUGAGGAAUAUUGCACAAUGGGCGCAAGCCUGAUGCAGCGACGCCGCGUGGGUGAUGAAGGCUUUCGGGUCGUAAAACCCUUUUCUGUUUGACGAGCAAGGACGGUAGCACAGGAAUAAGCCUCGGCUAACUACGU
rnacentral:rRNA from 1 species